rnacentral:rRNA from 1 species
UACGGAGGAUCCGAGCGUUAUCCGGAUUUAUUUGGUUUAAAGGGUGCGCAGGCGGGAGAUUAAGUCGGCGGUGAAAUUUUGCAGCUCAACUGUAAAAGUGCCUUCGAAACUGGUUUCCUUGAGUGUAGAUGAAGUAGGCGGAAUUUGUGGUGUAGCGGUGAAAUGCUUAGAUAUCACGAGGAACUCCGAUUGCGCAGGCAGCUUACUAAACUACUACUGACGCUCAGGCACGAAGGCGUGGGGAUCAAACAGGAUUAGAUACCCCUGUAGU